UUAUUGGAGAGUUUGAUCCUGGCUCAGGACGAACGCUGGCGGCGUGCCUAAUACAUGCAAGUCGAGCGAAUUGAUGGGAG
rnacentral:rRNA from 1 species